AGUGAACGCUGGCGGUAGGCCUAACACAUGCAAGUCGAACGGCAGCACAGUAAGAGCUUGCUCUUACGGGUGGCGAGUGGUGGACGGGUGAGGAAUACAUCGGAAUCUACUUUUUCGUGGGGGAUAACGUAGGGAAACUUACGCUAAUACCGCAUACGACCUACGGGUGAAAGCAGGGGAUCUUCGGACCUUGCGCGAUUGAAUGAGCCGAUGUCGGAUUAGCUAGUUGGCGGGGUAAAGGCCCACCAAGGCGACGAUCCGUAGCUGGUCUGAGAGGAUGAUCAGCCACACUGGAACUGAGACACGGUCCAGACUCCUACGGGAGGCAGCAGUGGGGAAUAUUGGACAAUGGGCGCAAGCCUGAUCCAGCCAUACCGCGUGGGUGAAGAAGGCCUUCGGGUUGUAAAGCCCUUUUGUUGGGAAAGAAAAGCAGCAGGUUAAUACCCCGCUGUUCUGACGGUACCCAAAGAAUAAGUACCGGCUAACUUCGUG
rnacentral:rRNA from 1 species